CCUGGGGACUCCGUCUUCCUCUGCAACCCCAAGAACUCCCACUCAAACUGAUUUCUCUUUCGCAUAACAUCCUGGAUCUAUAAGUCCAGCCAUGUCCAACGCUAUCCGAUUACUAACUAUUUCACCUCUUCAAUCAGCAAAGUCACUCUAUCUGCCAUCUCACCGUCUUGCGUUUUCAAGUUUUGGAGUUUCAGAUUUUUGUGAUUGUUUGAAGAGAAAGAGUAAUGUAAAUGGAGUCCGUACGAAGGUCUUCACUACGAUUAGUCAGCAAGGAUCGAUUCCUGGUCUUGAUUAUUCUUCUUCUCCUGUUUCAAUCGAGCUGAAACCUAUCUUAAAUGAGAGUCAAUUCGAUCUGGUGAUUGCUGAAGCUGAACAGCUCGAUGAAUCAGUUGUUAUUUUAUGGAUGGCAAAGUGGUGCAGGAAAUGUAUAUAUUUGAAACCAAAAUUGGAAAAGUUGGCAGCUGAUUAUCACCCUAGAGUAAGGUUUUAUUGCAUUGAUGUCAACAACGUCCCUUAUAAGCUUGUGGUUCGUGCUGGAGUCACUUUUGAUGGGCAGCAUUUGCAGACAUUCUGAUUAACGCCUGACUUGUGCAAUUUCAUGUAAAUUUGACCCGUCGGGAUGUAUAAACGGUGCAGAAAAUGCCAACUGUACAGGUGUGGAAGAAUAGCAAGAAACAGGCAGAGGUGAUCGGAGGUCACAAAGCAUAUUUGGUUGUUAACGAGGUUCGUGAAAUGAUAGAAAAUGAGAACGAACCCUAAUUUACUUUUCUUGUUUUUCACUGGUAGUAUAGAAAUUGUUGUUGAUGGUUUUGAAUGUUUGUAUAUCUUGGAGGAUCAGAGAAUAAACAAUAAAACCAUUGUUGUUGAUGGUUUGAGCAGUCU